rnacentral:rRNA from 1 species
GAUGAACGCUAGCGGCAGGCUUAAUACAUGCAAGGCGAAGGGGCAGCAAUGUCACUGUCGUACGGGUGCGUAACGCGUAUGCAACCUACCUAUCACUGGGGGAUAGCCCGGGGAAACCCGGAUUAAUACCGCAUAACACAGGGGUCCUGCAUGGGUACUAUUUGUUAAAGAUUUAUCGGUGGUAGAUGGGCAUGCGUUCG